AUUGAACGCUGGCGGCAGGCCUAACACAUGCAAGUCGAACGAGUGGCGGACGGGUGAGUAAUGACAGGGAAACUGCCUGAUGGAGGGGGAUAACUACUGGAAAAGGUAGCUAAUACCGCAUACCAUAAGGUGUGCCCAGAUGGGAUUAGCGAGUUGGUGGGGUAACGGCUCACCACGGCGACGAUCCCUAGCUGGUCUGAGGGGAUGACCGGCCACACUGGAACUGAGACACCGUCCAGACGCCUACGGGAGGCCGCAGUGGGGAAUAUUGCACAAUGGGCUCAAGCCUGUUGCAGCCCUGCCGCGUGUAUGAAGUAUGCCUUCGGGUCGGAAAGUACUGUCAGCGGGGAGGCGUUACCCUCAGAAGAAGCACCGGCUAACUCCGUGCCAGCAGCCGCGGUAAUUC
rnacentral:rRNA from 1 species